rnacentral:lncRNA from 1 species
GAUCUGCCUGCUUUUGCCUUCUGAGUGCUGGGACUAAAGGCAUGGACCACCACUGCCUAGAUUGCAGCUACCACUCUAAGAAGUCACUAAGCUAUCUGUCCAGGCCACAAACGUGGUUUUAUUUAUUUAUUUAUUUAUUUAUUUAUUUAUUAUAUGUAAGUACAUUGUAGCUGUCUUCAGACACUCCAGAAGAGGGAGUCAGAUCUCGUUAUGGAUGGUUGUGAGCCACCAUGUGGUUGCUGGGAUUUGAACUCCGGACCUUCGGAAGAGCAGUCGGGUGCUCUUACCCACUGAGCCGUCUCACCAGCCCUGUUUUAUUUAUUUUUGAGGCAGGAACUCUGUUAUGUAGCUCUGGACAUUCUAGAAUUUGCUAUAUAAAUGAAGCUGGCCUCCAUCCAACUCCCAGAAAUCCAUAAGUGCUGAAAUUAAAAGGUUCAUGUCACCAUACUUGGCUGUUUUUUUUUUUUUUGGUUUUUCGAGACAGAGUUUCUCUGUGUAGGCCUGGCUGUCCUGGAACUCACUUUGUAGACCAGGCUGGCCUCGAACUCAGAAAACCGCCUGCCUCUGCCUCCCAAGUGCUGGGAUUAAAGGAAUGCGCCACCACGCCCGGCUUGAAUUUAAUUUUGAAACUAGUCAGUCACUAAGUAGAAAGGCAGACCUUGAACUCAUUCUCAAAGCAUGCUUGCUUGCUUAUUUAUUUAUUUAUUUAUUUAUUUAUUAUUCAAGACACUUUCUCUGUUAAUCCUGGCUAUCCUUGAUCUUUUUUCGUAGACCAGGCUGGCCCUUGAACUCUUCUUUUUUUUUUUUUAACGACAAUAAUUAAAACUACAAAUCAAGCAGAGCCUGGUCCUGCAUGCCUUUUAAUUCCUACAGUUGGGAAGCAGGGACAGUGGGAUUUCUUAGCCUAGUCUAUAUACCCAGCUUCAGCCCAACUAAAGUUAUGUUAGUAAGACCCUUUCUCAAUAAUAAUAAUAAUAAUAAUAAUAAUAGCAACAACAACAAUAAUAAAAAAUUUAUUCUAACAUUUGACCAUUAUAGUCCUGUCAUUUUUGCCUAGAACUUGAGAGGCAAAUACUUGAUUGCUGGUUGAUUUUUCAGCUCCUUGGACUAUUAAUACAGACAGACAAACCUGUACUUAAAUAUAUGCAUAAACUCUUUUUAAAAAGUGUAGUGAGUUGGCCAGACCAUUUUCUCCCUUCCUAGUGAAUUUGGGAGCCAUAUUUUCUGAACUUUCCUUUCCAGUAAUAAGUACUUCAUCAGAAUUAAGCACUGGCACAUUUUUUCUACCUUAAAAUAGGUCAUAGAUGGAAUAAAGAUCUUCAUGUGCAGUUUUAAUUUACAGAUUUUCUGAGUGUGUGUUGUAUUAUGCUUCAUAGCUUAUACACACAUGAGAUUGACAAGAUGUACUUGAAAAGAUUUCUUCAAGGUCAGUCAUAACAAAUAGUACUCCCAUCUUCUCCACGGAGCCAAGCAAGCACGUUGAACUCAAGUACUCCCUGAUUGUAAUCUACAUUCCUCUGAAUACAGCAAAUUUGCAUCUGAGCCAACAGGUAUAAUUAUGUUGGAAUAAAAUGCCCUGUACUAAAGAGGUCAGCUAACAAGCUGGGAAAUCUUAACUCUGGUUUCUGAAGCAAAUCCUUGAACUCAGUGUGCCUUGUUCUCAUCCCUAAAUCAUUAAGAUUCAGUUGUACAGAGCUGUGGAGGGUGAUAUACCGGUAAUUUGCUCAGUAUCUUUCAAUAGUAAAUUAUGUCUAAAGAUCUGAUAAAACAUAGUAAACCUCGUUUAUUUGAGUAGUUGGAGACAGCAGAGAUAAAAUUACAGAUAGUUCAGAAAAUUCAUUAAAGUUAUUUUUUAACUUCCUUUAUUGUUAAACUUUUGCCUCUGUUUCCAAAGUGCUCUCUUAAUUCUUUUUCCAUAACAGACCUAUGAGAUAUGUUGGGCAAAUAACAGCAGGCUAGUUAAUUAAAGAAUCAAUUCAUCAAGAGGACAUAAUAAUCUUAAGUGUCUAUACAGCUAAUAAUAAAAGCUUCAGGGCCUGGGAGUAUAGCUCAGUGAUAGAGUUUUGGCCUAGAAUUCAUUAGGCCCAGAGUUUGAUCCUCAGCUUCACAGUGGAGGAGGUCUCAUAGCGCGUGAAAGAGAAAAGAUACAUGGAAAAUAGCAAACUUCUGUGAUUACAUUUGGAGAGUUAACUAAUUGAUAAAAACAAGUGUGUAAUAAAGUACCAAAGUAGAACACACAUUGCCAGCCAGUCUGACAUAAUUGACACCUGUAGAAUAGUUUACACAAAAGCAAAAUGUUCUCAACUGGUAUGGGAUAUAAGUCUCAUUCAAAAGGCUGCUAUAGUAUAAAGUGUUUUCUGGCCUUAGUGCAGUUGGAUUAGAGAUUAGUAACACAUGUGGGAAGUCUCCAAAUAUUUGGAAUGCUGCACAACACCAGUUAUUCAAGGGUCAGACAACUGGGAAUGCAGCACAAAGCUUAUGUGUUAGCUUAUGCAAAGUGCUGGCUUGGAGUUAUUUCCAGCACCUCCGCCCAACAACAAAGAAUUUGAGAGUCUGAGUGAGAGUCUGAGGUAGAAGGAUCACAUGAGUUCAAGGACAACGUGGGCUAUAUAGUGAGAGUCUAUCUCAAAAGACAGAAACAGAAAAAGCAAACUGAAAGUUACUUGAGAAUAAAUAGUAAGAGUGAUAAACC